GGGCGUGUAGCUCAGUGGUAGAGCAUUUGCCUUUUAAGCAAAGGGUCGGUGGUUCGAUCCCACCCACGCUCA
rfam:Ignavibacteria bacterium RBG_16_35_7 RBG_16_scaffold_17010, whole genome shotgun sequence.